UGUAAUCCUGCUUCUUUCUGCAAUUGUUCUGCUAAUUUUAGCUUUUUUCAGCUUUUUAAAUUGAACUCACAUGACUCCUGCAGCUGGACUUUAGCUCCUGUUGGACCUGAUGGAGGAGGUGCAGCUCCUCUCCUGCAGCUGGACUUUAGCUCCUGUUGGACCUGAUGGAGGAGGUGCAGCUCCUCUCCUGCAGCUGGACUCAGAACCUGUUGGACCUGAUGGAGGAGGUGCAGCUCCUCUCCACAGCUGGACUCAGAACCUGUUGGACCUGAUGGAGGAGGUGCAGCUCCUCUCCAGGCCGCCGGGAGGCGCUGUCCCUCCUCAGGCUGGACUGGUGCCAAGCUAACCCGGGUUCCGUGUAGCGGGACGCGGAGACAGCUGUCAAUAAAGCCAACACCGUUUGUCUCCGCUCUUACUCGAACCGAACCGAACCGAACCGAACCGGCCCGGGAGGUAAAGCAGGGCCUGCUGGCGGUGUCCGGUGGAUCGACGCGGGCAGAGUUUGAGGUUAAGGAGCGGAGGACAUCCUGCUGCUAACAGGCUAACAGGCUAACUAACGGGCAGCUCGGCUCCAUGAAUAAACUUUAUUAAGACUUCCGUCGGUGGCUCUGCGGGGUGACGUCAUGGACUGCUUGUUGGACUUUGAGGAGUGUGUUAAAGACUCACCUGAGUUCAGACUGACUCUGGACCAGUUUGAGGCUGAUGUUUCUCUGCUGGAGACACACCUGAACCAGGUGAUGAGGUUGUGUGGGAAGAUGGUGGAGGCGGGGCAAGCGUACAACUCAGCCAAUCAGCUGUUCCUGAGCGGCCUGGCUGAGCUGUUCACCUACCACAAGAAGGACACGGUGAUCAUGAGCUGCCUGACCCAGUUCAGCCAGGGUCUGCAGGAGACGCUGAGCUUCCACACGAUGUUGUUGGAUCAGACCCAGAGGGCCAUCAGCCAGCAGCUCACCAACCUCUGCUCACAGUUCCUCCCACAGCUGGCAGAGACCAGGAAGGAGUUUGUUCGGAUCAGAGAGGAUCUGGACACGGCGGCGGUGAAGAACGCUCAGGUGUCUCCACAUAAAGCUGCUGAGGCGGAGCGGGCGAGUCACCUGCUGCUCGCCACCAGGAAGUGUUCUCAACACUUCGCCCUGGAUUACUGUCUGCAGCUGAACACCUUUAGGACUCAGCAGAAGAUGGAUGUUCUGAACUCUGUGUUCUCCUACGUGCACGCUCAGUUCACCUUCUUCCAUCAGGGCUUUGACCUGCUGAGGGACCUGGAACCCACCAUGAAGACCAUGGCGGCACAGCUGUCGCUGCUGUCGGCCGAUUGUUCUGCAAAAAGAAAAGAGCUGGAGAACAAACACAUGCUGGUGCAGCAGAGAGAUGCUUCAGGUGAUCCACUGAUGAGUCUGGGUUGUGACAGCGGCCCCGUCCUGCAGGGCUACCUGUUCAAACGCUCCCGCAGGAAAUCCAAGACCUGGAAGAGGUGCUGGUUCUACAUCAGAGACAAUCAGCUGAUCUACAGGAGGUCCCACAAGGGCCUCAGAAAGAAGGAGCCAGUCUGCGUCUGUAUCGGGCCUCGAUGGCGGGGGACCUUGUUGCCAUGGCGACGGCGCUGGCUGAAGGUGCAGAGGUCAACAGUAGCGUGGAGGAGGAGGAGGGUCGCUCGGCGCUGAUCGGAGCAGCGGUGGGGGGGUCACUGUUGGCCUGCCAGUUCCUGCUGCAGAACGGCGCCAGCAUCAACCACAGAGACCUGAGGGGGCGGGGAGCGCUGCACGCCGCCGCCGCCGCCAGGCACACCGGGUGUGUCUGCUGCUGAAGAGAGGAGCCAAUCAGUACGCUGUGGAUGAGACGGGGCGGGACCCGCUGGCCAUCGCCGUGGAAACAGCAAACGCAGACAUCGUCACGCUGCUGCGUAUGGCCCGCAUGAACGAGGAGAUGAGGGAUUCUGAGGGGGUCUUUGGUUCUACAG